GACGAACCGUGCGAACGUUGUUCGGAUUCACUGGGCUUAAAGGGCGCGUAGGCGGGUCGGCAAGUCGGGGGUGAAAUCCCACGGCCCAACCGUGGAAGAGCUUUCGAUACUGCCGGUCUGGAGGGAGGUAGGGGCGUGUGGAACUUCCGGUGGAGCGGUGAAAUGCGUAGAUAUCGGAAGGAACGCCGGUGGCGAAAGCGACGCGCUGGACCUCUUCUGACGCUCAGGCACGAAAGCGUGGGGAGCAAACAGG
rnacentral:rRNA from 1 species